rnacentral:tRNA from 1 species
GGAGAGGUGGCUGAGUGGUCGAAAGCGGCGGUCUUGAAAACCGUUGAAGGUUCAUAGCCUUCCCAGGGUUCGAAUCCCUGUCUCUCCGCCA